ensembl:lncRNA
AAUGUGUCCAGUUGCUUUUGAAAGACAAUAACUUUCACAAGAUGUGGUAGCAAGGCAGUUCAUGACUACUAAUUUGCUAUUUGAAGAAUGCCUGACUUUUAUUUACUUUGGGCCUACUACUUCCCAACUUAAUUUCAUUCCCCCAAGCUCUUGUAUCAAAAGAGACUUUGGUCAGUGAGUGACCUUCUCAAUGUCAUUCUUCAUCAUACAACCUCCUAACUAGUCUUCCUUACUCAUCUCUUUCCCAUCUAGAAGAGUCUGUGUUCAUUUAGUUCAUACUCUUACAGAAUGUGUUUCACUCUGGAGGAAUCAAGUCUGUAUCACCAGCAGAAAAUAAAGAACGUCUUUGCUGGUGAUGUUUCCCAGCAUCUCAUCACCACAGCCCUGAGAAGCUCCCCUUUCCUUUUUCCUGAGGGCCAGAGGAGCAGUUCCCACACACGUGAGUCCCACUGGGUUGCGGACUGUCAGGAGAGCAGCGCAGUAUCAUUGAGUGUCACACAGGAUCCAGAGGCUGCAGUAAGGAUACAUCCCACACCCAGUCACCAGGGAGGGCAUCUGGGACUCAUGGGCUGGUUCUGAGCAGUGAGUGACCAUCCCAGCUCUAUGUCCCUUGAGCAUGGGUGAUGAGGUGUAGUGGAAUUAAGAUAAAGUGGUUCCAGAGCUUGUCUCAACCCCUUAGUGCUGUGCUCUUGCACUGCCUAUCGCCUGUUCAUUAAAGGCUGUUCCCUUGCAUGACCUCUGUCCUUUAGGGAAGGGUCAUGAGCUCCUUUUCAGCACCUAUUGAGGUGCUAUUGCUGGAGGACUUUCUCAGUUAGGAAGAAUGAGACAUGGUGCACCCUGUGGAAGGAGUUACUCUCUGUGUCCUAAUCACAAUUUCCUGAAUGUUUCAAUCAGAUCUACUUGAACUGUUCAAGAAUAAACAGAGAUCAAACUAGUAAGCCUGUAGUGUGGACAUCCCGGACCAGAGCCCUGCAGAAAAAUAGAAAGAAAAACAAGAUGACAGUGAGGAUGAGUCAGCUUUAUUUCAAAAGGCUUCAGAAAGAAAAAAUCAGAUAGACUGGCAGCUACAUGACCUUUAAGCCAAGUACCUGUGUGUGGCAAGAAGAUCUGCCUCCUAAGACCAAAAAGGCAUUGACUUCUUGAGUGCCCUCACAAGCUCUCUGGCUUUUCCUGGGGAAAUGACCAGCUGUCAGUGAGCAUAUCUGUGUAGUUACAUUUUACAUGUACACCUUAAUUUUUUCUACCUUCUAUUCUGUUUCUAUUCCCUCUGCCUUUUGUCACCUUUGUGAUGGCGGUUACACUUCAAAUUUCCAGAACCGUAAUAGAAGAUAGAAAACGGUGAUAAACAUUGUUAAUUGAUCAUGCAGGCCCAUGGGCAUACAAGAAAACAUAAAUCUAUGAGCUGACUAAAACCCUGUAAGAGGUCAUUUGAUAAUUUUUUGAGUGCUAUUGCUCUUAUUAAAUGAUUUAUCUGUAUGGAUUUUUACAGGAAGAGUUUUCCCUACAGUUCUCAAGAAUUAAAUGUCAAAAUGGUUUUACAGGGAAGGAACCAUCCAUUAGAUGGAUGUUUCAAAACAAACCAGAAUGUUUCAUUGGCUGCUUCAAAGCCAGUUACUGUCAAGUACUUUUGAUGAAGAGACUUAUGAGUGCAAAGCAGAAAUCAAGAGGCUAAAUGGCCCCAACAGCCUUUUUGCACCGAAGUUGCUUGUUUAAAACAAGUUCCAGUCAAGAACAAUUUAACUCGGUUCAAAUUAAGUGUUGCUCCUUAGCUCUGUGAAAUGAGGUAAAUGAUCACAGUCCGUUUCCCAUUAGCCUGUCUGCUCUGCUAAAACCACCUGCACAAUUGAAACUAAUUGGUGCCAACAACAGCAGAAUCAACAGAAAAGAUACAAUUAAAUAGUAAUGGAUUAUGAACUAUAUCCUCCCCCUAAAGAUACCUUUAGAUACUGGCAGUGAGCAAGCUUGCCUAGCUGGAGCUUGGAGUGGGGCUGAAUUUACAGCAAUGGGCUGCCAGUCAAGAUCCAGUCAGAAGCAGAAAUGCAAGUCUAUGCACAAAUGAACAUUAAUAAGGAUAUAUUUAUUCAGCUGGAAUAUAGGCAGGCCUAGAGCGGGGGAAAACACAUCCUACUCUAUUUGAAUUGAAGGGAUCAAAGUGAUAUGAGCCCCAGAGCUAUCAAGAGGCCAUCAGACACAAAUCUCAUGAGGGACUCCUAAACUCCCUUUCCUCCAGGGAUUCAUCAGUGUAGCAAUAAAAAGCAAACAGCUUUGAGUCAUAGAGCAGCACAUUUAAAUCAGGCUCAUAGUAUAUGUAAUAGGUACAGUGCUGCUGCUGGUAAGAGCAACAACUCUGACCAACAGCUGGGCUGGUUUCACCCAUCAGUGGGAGCCAGACCACUGAAGCCUGAUGCAAUUCUGACAGAAGCAGUUCCUCUUCUAAGCUGGACAGUUGGGUUCAUCUUGCUCUCUGCUGUGCUGCUUCUCAAAGGGCAAUGUGCAAGAAAGGCAUGAACAUGUUGUUCAGGGGCUGUAUCUUAAGGAAUUAUUUUGUAGACUUAUAAAAAAAUGCUUCUAUUGGCUUUUACAGAUACAUGAGCCUUUGUGCUUCUCUGUUACUCUUUUUAAUACGGCAGUUUAUACUUUGAAUUUCUAUAGGGUGCUUUUCUUCUCAGGACUGGGAAAUGAUUAAAAGACAUCACCAAAGAAAAAUUCAUACUGCACCUGGAAGAGAAGCAGAACUUUUCUGCUUGUGCAGCUAUUUUCCACUCUCUACAGGACAGUUUGGAGUUCAGAUCAACUCCUGAGUCAGGACUGAAUGCCAGGAAUCCUUCACUACACUCUAACAAAUAUUAAACAUUUUCUCUAUCCAUAUUUGAUGCCUCGGAGGGGUUGAUGCUCUGACACAGUAGAGAGAAUCAUUUACUGUAUUGUUCUGCCUACAGACAUGACAGUUCAAAGCACAAUACUUUGUGCUUCUUCAGAUUUUCCUGUGUUUGUUCAACAGAGAAUUGCUACUCACUGACAACCAAUGUUCAAAAACAUAAAAUAUCUGAAACACAGUUGGAGUGAUAUCUAUCAAUGCAUUGACAUGCACAAGCUAUAAACUUGUUCAAAAUAAAUUGUAAAAAACAGCUUCUGGUUUCAGAUAAUGACUACGCAACACAAGGUUUGCUCUCAGAGCAUUGGUUUAAGAUACAUCAGACAUGUGGUGCUCUCUUGGAUGCACACAAAGGCCAGAUUUCUCAGAAGUUAUUAGAGUGCACAGCUGUUCCUGAUAUGUCUCUUACAGUCAAAUUUUCAGAUUACUUAUUUAGCAAAGUGAUCUGCUUUGCAUGUGCAGCCUUUGAUAUGAAUAAUAAAUUCAUAAGUCUCUCUUUUUUUAUAAAAAGGA